GAUGAACGCUGGCGGCGUGCCUAAUACAUGCAAGUCGAGCGAACAGACGAGGCUCUCGCUCCUCUGACGUUAGCAGCGGACGGGUGAGUCACACGUGGAUAACCUCCCUCUAUGACUUGGAUAACUUCGGGAAACUGUAGCUAAUACCAGGUCAUAUAUUUAACCGCAUGGUUCAAUAGUGAAAGACGGUUUUGCUGUCACUUAUAGACGGAUCCGCGCCGCAUUAGCUAGUUGGUAAGGUAACGGCUUACCAAGGAGACGAUGCGUAGACGGCCUGGGAGGGUAGUCGGCCAGACAGGGUCGGAGGCAAGGUUCAGACUCCGACGGGGGGCAGAAGUAGGGAGGCGGCCGCAGUGGGGAAAAGCGUGAAAGGGCAGCACGGCGGAUGUGGUGAAGGUCUGCGGGGCGUGAAGCUCUGUGAUUUGGGAAGAACAAACGGGUAAGUCGAUGUGCUCGUCGUGACGGUAGCUGAACAGGAAGCCACGGCUAACUACGUG
rnacentral:rRNA from 1 species